UGGCUCCUCUCACGUCUCACAGACCC
rnacentral:piRNA from 1 species